UGGGGAAUUUUGGACAAUGGGCGAAAGCCUGAUCCAGCAAUGCCGCGUGCAGGAUGAAGGCCUUCGGGUUGUAAACUGCUUUUGUACGGAACGAAAAAGCUCCUUCUAAUACAGGGGGCCCAUGACGGUACCGUAAGAAUAAGCACCGGCUAACUACGUGCCAGCAGCCGCGGUAAUACGUAGGGUGCGAGCGUUAAUCGGAAUUACUGGGCGUAAAGCGUGCGCAGGCGGUUAUGUAAGACAGAUGUGAAAUCCCCGGGCUCAACCUGGGAACUGCAUUUGUGACUGCAUGGCUAGAGUACGGUAGAGGGGGAUGGAAUUCCGCGUGUAGCAGUGAAAUGCGUAGAUAUGCGGAGGAACACCGAUGGCGAAGGCAAUCCCCUGGACCUGUACUGACGCUCAUGCACGAAAGCGUGGGGAGCAAACAGGAUUAGAUACCCGGGUAGUCCCUGAGCGGGCUGGCAAGGCGCAU
rnacentral:rRNA from 1 species